ensembl:lncRNA
GGGAGGCAAACGUGUUUUUGGCUUCAUCCCAUCAUCCCCAGGGGUCAUCUUCACAUCAGAGAGGGGCAUCCUGAACUCCGGCUGAGGGAAAGCGUAAAGGAAGAGGAUGUGAGUGUGUGUGUGAGUGUGUGUGUGUGUGUGUGUGUGAAUAAGUGUGUGUGUGUGUGUGUGUUUAGUUCACAGUAAUGGGAACAGCUGCAGGCAGGACUUCCUGUUCUGCACCGGAAACAAAAUGGCGGAGUGCUGGAGGUCUGGAACAAUGCUGUGAAAGUCGGCCACCGCCCAGGUUAGCGAGCGAGGUGCUCGUGAACCAGAGGGCAUCGAGUCUGAAGAGCUCAGAGAGACUCGCCUGGUACAUUCUCACACAUUUGGAGGUGUUGUUCUGGGAGUCAAUGUUCUGGACGAAAAGUAUUAAUUUGUCAAUUUUUUUCUCGCUGUCGUCCUCUUUGCAGGCUUUUCCAUUUUAGAACACAAAUUCCUUUGAAAGUAGAGUGGAAGGCAGAUAUGUUUUGUCAUAUAAAAUUCUGAUAUCUGCCCUGUAUCUGUCACUCCACCGGCAAUCUCUGUGAGGGAUGUGAAUGAAGAACACAGAAGACGGUCGCCCUCAGCUGAGAGGCACAGGGGAUAAUGUAUUUUAGGUGUAGAAAUAGUUUGACACAUCUCUGUCCCGUUAUCGCACUUUACGGAUUCGUUUCAGAUGUUCACCUGUGGAAACAUCUGAGCACUCUUUACAUAACUGGCCUCCUUUUCAGGGCAAAAAGAUGGUGGUAAAAGUUCUUUUCUUUGUUCGUAGUUGAGAUGAAACGAGGUUACAAUUUUUUCUUGUAACCUCUUUUUUUUGUGUGUGUUUUUGGUCUAAGACCUCGCUGACCAGCAUGAGAUAAAUUACAGGAUGUGCCAAAAAGAAAACCAGGAAACUUAUAAACAACUGCAAACAGAGAGACAUUUGAUGAAUCUGGCUGAUUUUUGUGUCUGCUGCUCGUAGCAGAUUCUCUAAAAGCAUCCUCCUCUUUGAAAGUUGAAUUAUUUAUGCAUGCGGGUAGGAAUAGAGGGGGGAGGGGGUCAUCACAAGGUGUUGAAGUAGUGCGUGGUUACGUGCGUGUCCAUUCUGUGCACCGAUUACCUCACUUUCAGGAGACACGUCGGCAGGCAUUGCAAUUAGAUUCCACAAUCCUUCUUUAUAUGACUCAAUAAGGGAUGAAACAAAAUGUAUUUUGCUGCUUGCAUCAAAGAUAAGAGCCCUUUGAUAAUAAUGAGUUUUAUUUCUGGGACCAAAUCCUAUUCUGUAAAUGAACACUUGAUUUGGUUGUUUUGACCAAAUAACCAAUAAAGAACCUGAAGACCAAGU